GGGUUGUGAGGUUAAGCGACUAAGCGUACACGGUGGAUGCCCUGGCAGUCAGAGGCGAUGAAGGACGUGCUAAUCUGCGAUAAGCGUCGGUAAGGUGAUAUGAACCGUUAUAACCGGCGAUUUCCGAAUGGGGAAACCCAGUGUGUUUCGACACACUAUCAUUAACUGAAUCCAUAGGUUAAUGAGGCGAACCGGGGGAACUGAAACAUCUAAGUACCCCGAGGAAAAGAAAUCAACCGAGAUUCCCCCAGUAGCGGCGAGCGAACGGGGAGGAGCCCAGAGCCUGAAUCAGUGUGUGUGUUAGUGGAAGCGUCUGGAAAGGCGCGCGAUACAGGGUGACAGCCCCGUACACAAAAAUGCACAUACUGUGAGCUCGAUGAGUAGGGCGGGACACGUGGUAUCCUGUCUGAAUAUGGGGGGACCAUCCUCCAAGGCUAAAUACUCCUGACUGACCGAUAGUGAACCAGUACCGUGAGGGAAAGGCGAAAAGAACCCCGGCGAGGGGAGUGAAAAAGAACCUGAAACCGUGUACGUACAAGCAGUGGGAGCCUCUUUAUGGGGUGACUGCGUACCUUUUGUAUAAUGGGUCAGCGACUUAUAUUCUGUAGCAAGGUUAACCGAAUAGGGGAGCCGAAGGGAAACCGAGUCUUAACUGGGCGUUAAGUUGCAGGGUAUAGACCCGAAACCCGGUGAUCUAGCCAUGGGCAGGUUGAAGGUUGGGUAACACUAACUGGAGGACCGAACCGACUAAUGUUGAAAAAUUAGCGGAUGACUUGUGGCUGGGGGUGAAAGGCCAAUCAAACCGGGAGAUAGCUGGUUCUCCCCGAAAGCUAUUUAGGUAGCGCCUCGUGAAUUCAUCUCCGGGGGUAGAGCACUGUUUCGGCAAGGGGGUCAUCCCGACUUACCAACCCGAUGCAAACUGCGAAUACCGGAGAAUGUUAUCACGGGAGACACACGGCGGGUGCUAACGUCCGUCGUGAAGAGGGAAACAACCCAGACCGCCAGCUAAGGUCCCAAAGUCAUGGUUAAGUGGGAAACGAUGUGGGAAGGCCCAGACAGCCAGGAUGUUGGCUUAGAAGCAGCCAUCAUUUAAAGAAAGCGUAAUAGCUCACUGGUCGAGUCGGCCUGCGCGGAAGAUGUAACGGGGCUAAACCAUGCACCGAAGCUGCGGCAGCGACACUAUGUGUUGUUGGGUAGGGGAGCGUUCUGUAAGCCUGUGAAGGUGUACUGUGAGGUAUGCUGGAGGUAUCAGAAGUGCGAAUGCUGACAUAAGUAACGAUAAAGCGGGUGAAAAGCCCGCUCGCCGGAAGACCAAGGGUUCCUGUCCAACGUUAAUCGGGGCAGGGUGAGUCGACCCCUAAGGCGAGGCCGAAAGGCGUAGUCGAUGGGAAACAGGUUAAUAUUCCUGUACUUGGUGUUACUGCGAAGGGGGGACGGAGAAGGCUAUGUUGGCCGGGCGACGGUUGUCCCGGUUUAAGCGUGUAGGCUGGUUUUCCAGGCAAAUCCGGAAAAUCAAGGCUGAGGCGUGAUGACGAGGCACUACGGUGCUGAAGCAACAAAUGCCCUGCUUCCAGGAAAAGCCUCUAAGCAUCAGGUAACAUCAAAUCGUACCCCAAACCGACACAGGUGGUCAGGUAGAGAAUACCAAGGCGCUUGAGAGAACUCGGGUGAAGGAACUAGGCAAAAUGGUGCCGUAACUUCGGGAGAAGGCACGCUGAUAUGUAGGUGAAGCGACUUGCUCGUGGAGCUGAAAUCAGUCGAAGAUACCAGCUGGCUGCAACUGUUUAUUAAAAACACAGCACUGUGCAAACACGAAAGUGGACGUAUACGGUGUGACGCCUGCCCGGUGCCGGAAGGUUAAUUGAUGGGGUCAGCGCAAGCGAAGCUCUUGAUCGAAGCCCCGGUAAACGGCGGCCGUAACUAUAACGGUCCUAAGGUAGCGAAAUUCCUUGUCGGGUAAGUUCCGACCUGCACGAAUGGCGUAAUGAUGGCCAGGCUGUCUCCACCCGAGACUCAGUGAAAUUGAACUCGCUGUGAAGAUGCAGUGUACCCGCGGCAAGACGGAAAGACCCCGUGAACCUUUACUAUAGCUUGACACUGAACAUUGAGCCUUGAUGUGUAGGAUAGGUGGGAGGCUUUGAAGUGUGGACGCCAGUCUGCAUGGAGCCGACCUUGAAAUACCACCCUUUAAUGUUUGAUGUUCUAACGUGGACCCGUAAUCCGGGUUGCGGACAGUGUCUGGUGGGUAGUUUGACUGGGGCGGUCUCCUCCUAAAGAGUAACGGAGGAGCACGAAGGUUGGCUAAUCCUGGUCGGACAUCAGGAGGUUAGUGCAAUGGCAUAAGCCAGCUUGACUGCGAGCGUGACGGCGCGAGCAGGUGCGAAAGCAGGUCAUAGUGAUCCGGUGGUUCUGAAUGGAAGGGCCAUCGCUCAACGGAUAAAAGGUACUCCGGGGAUAACAGGCUGAUACCGCCCAAGAGUUCAUAUCGACGGCGGUGUUUGGCACCUCGAUGUCGGCUCAUCACAUCCUGGGGCUGAAGUAGGUCCCAAGGGUAUGGCUGUUCGCCAUUUAAAGUGGUACGCGAGCUGGGUUUAGAACGUCGUGAGACAGUUCGGUCCCUAUCUGCCGUGGGCGCUGGAGAACUGAGGGGGGCUGCUCCUAGUACGAGAGGACCGGAGUGGACGCAUCACUGGUGUUCGGGUUGUCAUGCCAAUGGCACUGCCCGGUAGCUAAAUGCGGAAGAGAUAAGUGCUGAAAGCAUCUAAGCACGAAACUUGCCCCGAGAUGAGUUCUCCCUGACCCUUUAAGGGUCCUGAAGGAACGUUGAAGACGACGACGUUGAUAGGCCGGGUGUGUAAGCGCAGCGAUGCGUUGAGCUAACCGGUACUAAUGAACCGUGAGGCUUAACCUUACAACGCCGAAGCUGUU
rnacentral:rRNA from 1 species